UUUACACUACUUUCAGGUCACAUUGCCGAACAGACGAAAACAACACCAGAUGACUCAGACUCCGGUAAUGGGGUUGGAGCUCUUGAAAAUAGUGUAGCUUGCCCAGGGGACGGCAGCAGCAGGGUUGGUAGGUGACGUAAUCACAUACAAAGGCAUAACGAUACACGCUGCUUGCAAAGGAGCUGGCUGUUUUGUACAGCAGUAUCGGCGCUGUGCUUCAGUGCGAAAGGUGCCCGCCUGUGUGUAGAGUGCAUCGUCCUGUGUGAUGUGCCUGCCUGCGGGAACCGAGGUAAGGACCUGGAUAUCCCUGAGAAGAAUGGAGAGUGUCUCUGUAGGGCUGUGACCGAUGAAGAGGAGAAGACUGCUAUUCUGAAUGAAGUUCACGCAGGACACUGGGAUCAAGAGGAUGAUGGAAAAUCAAUCAGCGAUUUUACUGGGAAGGGAUUGUAAAGGAUGUGGAGCACUGAUCCAGAAUUAUGAAGCAUGCCAGAGAUGUGAAAGGGUGAAGACUGUUGCCCCAGAACUGAAGCCAAUCAAAGUUGUUUCUCCGGGUACAGGAUCAGUGUUGAUCUCAUUGGACCAUUCCAGUCUUCGAAGGGAGGACACCACUUUGCUUGACGUACUGAUUUCUUCACGAAGUGGACCGGGGCCAUCAUCCCCAUCAAAGACAAAUCAGCUGCUUGCAGGACCUCUGAGUAUAGAGGAGUGAUUUGCAGAGCUGCACGUGGAAUCACGUUUUUCAAAACUGUGUCUCAAUCAAAGCAAGUGGGCAGUAUCUAGCCACCGAUUGGAUAAUCCUUUGUGAUCGAUUUCCUUGGCCUUGGCAUCACGCCAGCGCUGACAAGGGAUCAAGCGGAUUGGCUGAGCUAAGUACCAAUGUGUAUCUUUGUUACAUUUUUCUCGAAAAUUGAAUUCUCAGAAUACAAUCGUUAACAUAGCAUUCGUUUACAUAGAGACGAAUGUGGGUUUUUAUGGCCGUUAAUUUGGUACACUAGUAUUAGCAUCUAAACAUAUCUGAAUAUUUUGAUGCAUUGAAAAACUGCCCCGGUGAAAUUAGGCUGAUAUUGGAUAUUCCAUAUUCACACAAAGCACUGAUAUUUCACCCAAUGAAAGAUGACAUGCUAACGAGUAAUUUAAGCCAUGUCUCGUUGAUUUGCGAGUUAGCAAUCUCUAGUUAAGAACACGGAAAAUAAGCGUACAUAUUCACUAUUCAUUGUACAGUAGGUUACGAGAUAUAAUGGUUCAUAGCUCCUACAUAACAACUCGCAAUGCAAUACCAUUUCACCUCAUGAAAGAUGGCAUCAACAAACAUGCCAUUUCUAUAAAAAUUCUCUACAUUUUAGAAAACCUUUUGUUUGUUUAGUUAUAGGAAAAUCGUUGCGUUGCAAAGCAAAACCUGGCUCUUCUUCUUCUUCUUCUUGGUAGUAUUAUUGUUGUUGUUGGUGAUGAUGCUUUUCUUGCUGUUCUUGUUCUUAUCCCCAUUCUUGUUUUGUAUAAAAAUUAAAACAUAUAGUACCCUAAUCGUGUUUUGUCAUUUGAUACUACAUAUUCAUGUGCUGUCCUAUUUCUCUAACCUGAUACUUGCAAGUUUUCUCACACUUUAACAUUAUAAACCACAGGAGGGAUGCCCUGGCAGCUGCAGUUCUUUAAUGGGGUGAAGCGAAACCAAAAGUGUGUAUAUAUAAUUAUAAUUGUGUAUAAUAGAUCUUGACUGAUCCUGACAAAAACAUAAAACAGCUCUCUUUUGAGCAAGUGUGUGUGUGUGUCUAUAUAUAUAUAUAUAUAUA